rnacentral:rRNA from 1 species
GACGUAGGGCGCGAGCGUUGUCCGGAUUUAUUGGGCGUAAAGAGCUCGUAGGCGGCUCGUUGCGUCGGCUGUGAAAACCCGCAGCUCAACUGUGGGCUUGCAGCUGAUACGGGCGGGCUGGAGUUCGGUAGGGGAGACUGGAAUUCCUGGUGUAGCGGUGAAAUGCGCAGAUAUCAGGAGGAACACCGGUGGCGAAGGCGGAUCUCUGGGCCUGGCCUGACGCUGAGGCGCGAAAGCUAGGGGAGCGAACAGG